UGGGUCACGAGUUAGCUGUCCUGUUUGCAAUGUGGCUGGACGACAUUCUCAUUUUCACUCAUAAGAAUUAUUACUGAUUUAAAAGAAACCAACUCAAAUUCAAUUCUGAAAACCCCUCCCUCCUUCCUCAAAACCACAGUAUGUAUCACUGCUAAAAGCAGAAAAAUGGAAGAGAGAAGGAUACUGACUGUUACACCCAGCAGGCGAUUCUGUUUCCUUUAGAGCAUCGGAGCUAAAGGCGUAAAUUUCACAGAACCAGAGGAACAAUCAGCUUGAAACUUGUUGAAUACAGUGAUGCUAAUUAAAAACUUCUUCUUGAUGGUGUGUUCUCCCCCAGUCCGCAUCCCAUCCACCUCACUACUUAUAUAACCUCCU
rnacentral:lncRNA from 1 species